rnacentral:Y_RNA from 1 species
AGCUGGUCCAAAGGUAGUGAGUUAUCUUACUUGAUUGUUCCCGGUUAUAGAUCAAACUCCUUGUUCUACUCUUUCCCUCCUUCUCACUACUGCACUUGACUAGUCUUAA